UGCGAGCGUUAAUCGGAAUUACUGGGCGUAAAGCGCAUGCAGGCGGCCUGUUAAGUCAGAUGUGAAAGCCCGGGGCUUAACCUCGGAAUUGCAUUUGAAACUGGCAGGCUAGAGUCUUGUAGAGGGGGUAGAAUUUCAGGUGUAGCGGUGAAAAUGCGUAGAGAUCUGAAGGAAUACCAGUGGCGAAGGCGGCCCCCUGGACAAAGACUGACGCUCAGAUGCGAAAGCGUGGGGAGCAAACAGGAUUAGAUACCCUGGUAG
rnacentral:rRNA from 1 species